CUGUGAUGCCCUUAGAUGUUCGGGGCCGCACGCGCGCUACACUGACAGAGCCAACGAGUUCAUCACCUUGUCCGAAAGGU
rnacentral:rRNA from 1 species